rnacentral:lncRNA from 1 species
CAAGCGCACCGCCUCGACGCAGAGGCUAGAAGCUCCAGCUAUGUUGUGGUGAUACUCACCAACUCUAGCGAUGACGACGACAGGGGGUGACGCGCGUGGAGCUUGAGGCAGGGGCGGGACCGCACCCGCGUCUACUGUAACAGGAAGAGACGCGUGGGCUGGCUUCCAUGUGAUCGACAAGCAUAUCUUGCCCCACAUCAAGAGGUGUCGCGCCACUGCCGAAGAGCUAGUUGCCACUGAGCAUGCAGUAGUGAAUGUCGAAGAAGUGGCUUCGGGCCGCCAAGAAGGAGCAGGAGCUCACGGUGCGCUGCGCAAGUCCGCCAUCAAAUAUUACUUCGGCUACGAUAAGUGAGCACGACGAGCAUGCCCACGAACUAGGAUUAGGGUUAGGUUUCCUUAGUAUGUAAUCCUUUCGGUAUGCUAGUGUGAACUCUGUUUGAUGAAUUAGUCUAUGUUUGUGUAAACUGUUGCGUGAUCUCGAACAAAUUCUCGCACGAAAAUAGUUUGCCAAAUUACCUAGUAUUGUUUUGCAUAUUUGUUUCAGCUGAAUAAUUUGCAACCCGUAUGUUUCAGAAUUUCGG